UAGGGAAUCUUUGGCAAUGGACGAAAGUCUGACCGAGCAACGCCGCGUGAGUGAAGAAGGUUUUCGGAUCGUAAAACUCUGUUGUUAGAGAAGAACAAGGACGUUAGUAACUGAACGUCCCCUGACGGUAUCUAACCAGAAAGCCACGGCUAACUACGUGCCAGCAGCCGCGGUAAUACGUAGGUGGCAAGCGUUGUCCGGAUUUAUUGGGCGUAAAGCGAGCGCAGGCGGUUUCUUAAGUCUGAUGUGAAAGCCCCCGGCUCAACCGGGGAGGGGCGUUGGAAACUGGGAGACUUGAGUGCAGAAGAGGAGGGUGGAAUUCCAUGUGUAGCGGUGAAAUGCGUAGAUAUAUGGAGGAACACCAGUGGCGAAGGCGGCUCUCUGGUCUGUAACUGACGCUGAGGCUCGAAAGCGUGGGGAGCAAACAGG
rnacentral:rRNA from 1 species